UACAGAGGUCUCAAGCGUUGUUCGGAUUUAUUGGGCGUAAAGCGUGCGUAGGCGGCGGGGUAAAUGAGGUGUGAAAUCCCAGGGCUUAACCCUGGAACUGCACUUUAUACUGCCUUGCUCGAGGGCUGGAGAGGAGACUGGAAUUUACGAUGUAGCAGUGAAAUGCGUAGAGAUCGUAAGGAAGACCAGUGGCGAAGGCGAGUCUCUGGAAAGCUGCUGACGCUGAGGCACGAAGGCCAGGGGAGCAAACGGG
rnacentral:rRNA from 1 species